UUAUGUAUUAUUUAUUAUGUUUCAUGAAAUGUGUGUUUUGUGACAAUUAUAUGACAUAAGUAUGUCAUUGUUUGCUUGUGAAGUGAUUAUAUAAGAUAAAUGUCAUCAAGGUAAACUUAAUUCUACAUUAGCAAGUACAUGGAUGAAUGUUUUGAAUCGAUGACUUAACAUAGCUAAAAAUUGGACUAACAAAAUGAAAACAAAUGCAAUAAUGAAGAGACAUCCAAUUGGUUCCAAAUGCUUGUAUUGUCUUGCUAAAUGUACCUGAAAAAAAAUAUAUAUUUCCAUUUGCAAUAAGACUAGUAUGAGUAAAAAAUGAUAUUUACAACACAUUGAAAGUAAGACCUACUUCAUAUGAAUGAUCAGUGGUAUAAGUAAUAUUAUAUUCAAUAGCAAAGGGCCAUUGGAUAUACAAAAUAUCUUUGUUUAUUUGCAACAAGAAUAUUGCCACUAUAAAUAUUAGAUUUAUCAUAAAGAAUUUUAAAACAUA